UGGGGAAUAUUGCGCAAUGGGGGAAACCCUGACGCAGCAACGCCGCGUGAGUGAAGAAGGUUUUCGGAUCGUAAAACUCUGUCUUUGGGAACGAAACAAAUGACGGUACCCAAGGAGGAAGCCCCGGCUAACUACGUGCCAGCAGCCGCGGUAAUACGUAGGGGGCAAGCGUUGUCCGGAAUCACUGGGCGUAAAGAGCAUGUAGGCGGCAUGGUAAGUUGGAUGUGAAAGUUCGGGGCUUAACCCCGAAAUUGCAUCCAAAACUGCCAAGCUUGAAUAUCGGAGAGGCAAGCGGAAUUCCUAGUGUAGCGGUGAAAUGCGUAGAGAUUAGGAAGAACACCGGUGGCGAAGGCGGCUUGCUGGACGAAUAUUGACGCUGAGAUGCGAAAGCGUGGGGAGCAAACAGG
rnacentral:rRNA from 1 species